rnacentral:rRNA from 1 species
AGUGAACGCUGGCGGUAGGCCUAACACAUGCAAGUCGAACGGCAGCACAGUAAGAGCUCGCUCUUACGGGUGGCGAGUGGCGGACGGGUGAGGAAUACAUCGGAAUCUACUUUUUCGUGGGGGAUAACGUAGGGAAACUUACGCUAAUACCGCAUACGACCUACGGGUGAAAGCAGGGGAUCUUCGGACCUUGCGCGAUUGAAUGAGCCGAUGUCGGAUUAGCUAGUUGGCGGGGUAAAGGCCCACCAAGGCGACGAUCCGUAGCUGGUCUGAGAGGAUGAUCAGCCCAACUGGAACUGAGACACGGUCCAGACUCCUACGGGAGGCAGCAGUGGGGAAUAUUGGACAAUGGGCGCAAGCCUGAUCCAGCCAUACCGCGUGGGUGAAGAAGGCCUUCGGGUUGUAAAGCCCUUUUGUUGGGAAAGAAAAGCAGCAGGUUAAUACCCCGCUGUUCUGACGGUACCCAAAGAAUAAGCACCGGCUAACUUCGUG